AUUGAACGCUGGCGGCAGGCCUAACACAUGCAAGUCGAGCGGAGCGGCGGACGGGUGAGUAAUGCCUAGGAAUCUGCCUGGUAGUGGGGGAUAACGUCCGGAAACGGGCGCUAAUACAGCAUACUAUCAGCUGAGCCUAUGUCGGAUUAGCUAGUUGUUGGGGUAAAGGCCUACCAAUGCGACGAGCCGUCACUGGUCUGAGUGGGUGAUCAGUCACACUGGAACUGAGAAACGGUCCAGACUCCUACGGGAGGCAGCAGUGGGUAAUAUGGGACAAUGGGCGAAAGCCUGAUGCAGACAGGCCGCGUGUGUGAAGAAGGUCUUCGGAUUGUAAAGCACUUGAAGUUGGGAGGCGUUACCAACAGAAUAAGCACCGGCUAACUUCGUGCCAGCAGCCGCGGUAAUAC
rnacentral:rRNA from 1 species